GGGAUUGCCUAGUAACGGCGAGUGAAGCGGCAACAGCUCAAAUUUGAAAUCUGGCCUCACGGUCCGAAUUGUAAUUUGUAGAGGAUGUUUCUGGCGACGUGUCUUCCGAGUUCCCUGGAACGGGACGCCAUACAGGGUGAGAGCCCCGUCCGGUCGUACACCUAGCCUCUGUGAAACUCCUUCGACGAGUCGAGUAGUUUGGGAAUGCUGCUCUAAAUGGGAGGUAUACGUCUUCUAAAGCUAAAUACCGGCCAGAGACCGAUAGCGCACAAGUAGAGUGAUCGAAAGAUGAAAAGCACUUUGAAAAGAGGGUUAAAUAGUACGUGAAAUUGCUGAUAGGGAAGCGCUUAUGACCAGACUUGGGCUCGGUGAAUCAUCCGGCGUUCUCGCCGGUGCACUUUGCCGUCCCAGGCCAGCAUCAGUUCGCGCCGGGGGAUAGAGGUUUCGGGAAUGUAGCUCCUUCGGGAGUGUUAUAGCCCGUUGCGUAAUACCCUGGCGUGGACUGAGGUCCGCGCUCUGCAAGGAUGCUGGCGUAAUGGUCAUCAGUGACCCGUCUUGAAACACGGACCAGGGAGUCGUCUUCGUAUGCCAGUGUUCGGGUGUCAAACCCCUACCCGUAAUGCAAGUGAACGUAGGAGAGAGCUUCGGCUCAUCUUCAACCGAUCCUAAUGCUCUUCGGAUGCAUUUUGAGUAAAAAGCAUACGGGGCCCGGAGCCGAAUAGAAGGUAGACUUAUGCCUGAAAAAGGGGGAAGCCAGGAGCAAAUUUCUAGGGGGAAGCUCCGCAGCGGAUUCUUGACGGGCCAAUUCGA
rnacentral:rRNA from 1 species